GAUGAACGCUGGCGGCGUGCUUAACACAUGCAAGUCGAACGGGGGACAAUUUAAAGAAGCUUCGGCAGAUUUAGCUUGUUCCUAGUGGCGGACGGGUGAGUAACGCGUGGGUAACCUGCCUCACACUGGGGGAUAACAGUCAGAAAUGACUGCUAAUACCGCAUAAGCGCACAGAACCGCAUGGUUCAGUGUGAAAAACUCCGGUGGUGUGAGAUGGACCCGCGUUGGAUUAGCCAGUUGGCAGGGUAACGGCCUACCAAAGCGACGAUCCAUAGCCGGCCUGAGAGGGUGGACGGCCACAUUGGGACUGAGACACGGCCCAGACUCCUACGGGAGGCAGCAGUGGGGAAUAUUGCACAAUGGGGGAAACCCUGAUGCAGCGACGCCGCGUGAAGGAAGAAGUAUCUCGGUAUGUAAACUUCUAUCAGCAGGGAAGAAAAUGACGGUACCKAC
rnacentral:rRNA from 1 species